rnacentral:rRNA from 1 species
GUUGGCUUAGAAGCAGCCACUCAUUUAAAGAGUGCGUAAUAGCUCACUAGUCGAGUGAUUGUGCGCCGAAAAUGUAACGGGGCUAAAAUUCAUACCGAAGCUUAGGAAUGAUAGUAAUAUUGUUGGUAGAUGAGCGUUGUGUAAGUCUGCGAAGCUACACCGAAAGGAGUAGUGGAGAUAUCACAAGUGAGAAUGCCGGAAUGAGUAGCGAGAAUUAUGUGAGAAUCAUAAUGGUCGAAAAUCUAAGGUUUCUUGAGGAAGGUUCGUCCGCUCAAGGUAAGCCGGGAGCUAAGGCGAGGCCGAGAGGCGUAGUCGAUGCACAUACGGUAAAGAUUCCGUAGCCACCGAAGUCGUUAAAUACAGGGACACAGGAACAUAGCCUAACCCCACCGUUGGUUGAGUGGGGCGUAAGGGAGCGAAAAUUAGUAGUGAAGUAGGUGAUUGUACACUGGCGAGAAAAGCUGUAUGGAUUGACAAGGUGCCCGUACCGCAAACCGACACAGGUAGAUGAGGAGAGAAUCCUAAGACCAGCGGGAGAAGUGUUGUUAAGGAACUCGGCAAAAUGACCCCGUAACUUCGGGAUAAGGGGAGCCUACGAGAGUAGGCCGCAGAGAAUAGUCUCAAGCGACUGUUUAGCAAAAACACAGGUCUAUGCUAAAUCGAAAGAUGAUGUAUAUGGGCUGACGCCUGCCCGGUGCUGGAAGGUUAAGGGGAAGUGUUAGAGCAAUCGAAGCACUGAACUUAAGCCCCAGUAAACGGCGGCCGUAACUAUAACGGUCCUAAGGUAGCGAAAUUCCUUGUCAGGUAAGUUCUGACCCGCACGAAUGGCGUAACGACUUGAGAGCUGUCUCAACAACAUACCCGGCGAAAUUGAAGUACUGGUAAAGAUGCCAGUUACCCGUGAUAAGACGGAAAGACCCCAUGGAGCUUUACUGUAACUUGAUAUUGAAUUUUUGUAUUACAUGUACAGGAUAGGUGGGAGACAGAGAACUAAUGCCGCCAGGUGUUAGGGAGUCGAUGUUGGGAUACCACUCUUGUAAUAUGAAGGUUCUAACCUGCACCCGUGAAUCCGGGUGGGGGACACUGUCAGGUGGACAGUUUGACUGGGGCGGUCGCCUCCUAAAAGGUAACGGAGGCGUUCAAAGGUUGGUUCAGCACGGACGGAAAUCGUGCAACGAGUGCAAACGCAUAAACCAGCCUAACUGCGAGACCGACAAGUCGAGCAGUAACGAAAGUUGGAGUUAGUGAUCCGGCGGUAUGAGAGUGGAAUUGCCGUCGCUCAACGGAUAAAAGCUACCCUGGGGAUAACAGGCUGAUCUCCCCCAA